rnacentral:misc_RNA from 1 species
GACGUAGGAUGCAAGCGUUGUCCGGAAUUAUUGGGCGUAAAGCGUACGUAGGCGGUUUCUUAAGUCUGGGGUUAAAGACCGAGGCUCAACCUCGGGAGUGCCCUGGAAACUGAGAGACUGGAGGACGGCAGAGGAAAGUGGAAUUCCCGGUGUAGCGGUGAAAUGCGUAGAUAUUGGGAGGAACACCAGUGGCGAAAGCGGCUUUCUGGGCCGUUCCUGACGCUGAGGUACGAAAGCGUGGGGAGCAAACAGG